rnacentral:rRNA from 2 species
GUGGAAGUCGAACGAACUCUGUGGUAUUGAUUGGUGCUUGCAUCAUGAUUUACAUUGUGAGUGAGUGGCGAACUGGUGAGUAACACGUGGGAAACCUGCCCAGAAGCGGGGGGAUAACACCUGGAAACAGAUGCUAAUACCGCAUAACAACUUGGACCGCAUGGUCCGAGCUUGAAAGAUGGCUUCGGCUAUCACUUUUGGAUGGUCCCGCGGCGUAUUAGCUAGAUGGUGGGGUAACGGCUCACCAUGGCAAUGAUACGUAGCCGACCUGAGAGGGUAAUCGGCCACAUUGGGACUGAGACACGGCCCAAACUCCUACGGGAGGCAGCAGUAGGGAAUCUUCCACAAUGGACGAAAGUCUGAUGGAGCAACGCCGCGUGAGUGAAGAAGGGUUUCGGCUCGUAAAACUCUGUUGUUAAAGAAGAACAUAUCUGAGAGUAACUGUUCAGGUAUUGACGGUAUUUAACCAGAAAGCCACGGCUAACUACGUGCCAGCAGCCGCGGUAAUACGUAGGUGGCAAGCGUUGUCCGGAUUUAUUGGGCGUAAAGCGAGCGCAGGCGGUUUUUUAAGUCUGAUGUGAAAGCCUUCGGCUCAACCGAAGAAGUGCAUCGGAAACUGGGAAACUUGAGUGCAGAAGAGGACAGUGGAACUCCAUGUGUAGCGGUGAAAUGCGUAGAUAUAUGGAAGAACACCAGUGGCGAAGGCGGCUGUCUGGUCUGUAACUGACGCUGAGGCUCGAAAGUAUGGGUAGCAAACAGGAUUAGAUACCCUGGUAGUCCAUACCGUAAACGAUGAAUGCUAAGUGUUGGAGGGUUUCCGCCCUUCAGUGCUGCAGCUAACGCAUUAAGCAUUCCGCCUGGGGAGUACGGCCGCAAGGCUGAAACUCAAAGGAAUUGAC